AUUGAACGCUGGCGGCGGGCCUAACACAUGCAAGUCGAGCGAGCGGCGGACGGGUGAGUAAUGUAUGGGGACUGCCCUAUAGAGGGGGAUAACUACUGGAAACGGUAGCUAAUACCGCAUACUAUCGGAUAACCCAUAUGGGAUUAGCUAGUAGGUGAGGUACUGGCUCACCUAGGCGACGAUCCCUAGCUGGUCUGAGAGGAUGAUCAGCCAAGCUGGGACUGAGACACGGCCCAGACUCCUACGGAGGCAGCAGUGGGGAAUAUUGCACAAUUGGCGCAAGCCUGAUGCAGCCAUGCCGCGUGUAUGAAGAAGGCCUUAGGGUUGUAAAGUAUUUUCAGUCGGGAGGCGUUACCGACAGAAGAAGCACCGGCUAACUCCGUGCCAGCAGCCGCGGUAAUAC
rnacentral:rRNA from 1 species